CCUACGGGAGGCAGCAGUGAGGAAUAUUUGUCAAUGGGCGAGAGCCUGAACCAGCCAAAUCGCGUGAGGGAGUACUGCCCUCUGGGUUGUAAGCCUCUUUUGUCGGGGAGCAAAAGCCGGAAGUGUCCUGCUGUGAGCGUACCCGAAGAAAACGCAUCGGCUAACUCCGUGCCAGCACCCGCGGUCAUACGGGGGCUGCGAUCGUUAUCCGGAUUUAGUGGGUUUAAAGGUUGCGCAGGCGGAUUUUUAUGUCAGCGGUCAAAUCGUGGGGCUUAACCUGUGGCCUGAAUUUGAAACUGUUGUACUUGAGUACUGGAGAGGCAGACGGAAUUCCUAGUGUAGCGGUGGAAUGCGUAGAUAUUAGGAGGAACACCAGUGGCGAAGGCGGUCUGCUGGACAGCAACUGACGCUGAGGCGCGAAAGCGUGGGGAGCAAACAGGAUUAGAUACCCGAGUAGUC
rnacentral:rRNA from 1 species